GGAGGGCAAGAACAUCCGGUGACCUCACUGUGAGAACAGCUCUGUAUACCAGCCCAGUACAGAGGGCCCGUGGCUGACCCGGAGGAAGCAGGGAAGAGACUCCUGCCACCUUGGGCUGCGACCGGGAAUCUGACAGAAAGGAAGGAUCUGUCCCUGCCUCGAUCUUCUCUGAGGUUUCAAGUUCCUACACCUGCAACUGCAUCAAGAGGAGUUGAGGAGAUGACAGGAGAUGACAAAGGACCAGAGGUACUGUCGGCCUCCACCUACCUCUUUAACUUGGCAUCUCAUACCUAGUGUCUCUUGGAACGGGCUCAACACUCUCCGGCACGACCUCCCCGGCUGGCUGAGGAAUCUGUACAACCGACUUCUUAUACUGGGUGUUGGGACAAUUGCAAAACAUUAAGAGCAUUGAGGAGUGGGUAGCUGAGGCCUCUAGAUCCCAAGACCAGAAUGAAGUUUACAAAUGUUGAAAGCUAUUCAUUUUACAGAUGAUGGAAAAAUGAUGAGAAAGAAAAUGAGAAUGCCCUGUUUCCCUAUGACUUCAAAGAAUCCUACAGACAUAACUUCAUUCAUCUAC